AUUGAACGCUGGCGGCAGGCCUAACACAUGCAAGUCGAACGGUAACAGGAAGAAGCUUGCUUCUUUGCUGACGAGUGGCGGACGGGUGAGUAAUGUCUGGGAAACUGCCUGAUGGAGGGGGAUAACUACUGGAAACGGUAGCUAAUACCGCAUAACGUCGCAAGACCAAAGAGGGGGACCUUCGGGCCUCUUGCCAUCGGAUGUGCCCAGAUGGGAUUAGCUUGUUGGUGGGGUAACGGCUCACCAAGGCGACGAUCCCUAGCUGGUCUGAGAGGAUGACCAGCCACACUGGAACUGAGACACGGUCCAGACUCCUACGGGAGGCAGCAGUGGGGAAUAUUGCACAAUGGGCGCAAGCCUGAUGCAGCCAUGCCGCGUGUAUGAAGAAGGCCUUCUGGUUGUAAAGUACUUUCAGCGGGGAGGAAGGGAGUAAAGUUAAUACCUUUGCUCAUUGACGUUACCCGCAGAAGAAGCACCGGCUAACUCCGUG
rnacentral:rRNA from 1 species